rnacentral:rRNA from 1 species
AACGAACGCUGGCGGCAUGCCUAACACAUGCAAGUCGAACGAGCCCUUCGGGUCUAGUGGCGCACGGGUGCGUAACGCGUGGGAACCUGCCCUUAGGUUCGGAAUAACUCCCCGAAAGGGGUGCUAAUACCGGAUAAUGUCUUCGGACCAAAGAUUUAUCGCCUUUGGAUGGGCCCGCGUUGGAUUAGCUAGUUGGUAGGGUAAAAGCCUACCAAGGCGACGAUCCAUAGCUGGUCUGAGAGGAUGAUCAGCCACACUGGGACUGAGACACGGCCCAGACUCCUACGGGAGGCAGCAGUGGGGAAUAUUGGACAAUGGGCGAAAGCCUGAUGCAGCAAUGCCGCGUGAGUGAUGAAGGUCUUAGGGUUGUAAAGCUCUUUUACCCGGGAUGAUAAUGACAGUACCGGGAGAAUAAGCUCCGGCUAACUCCGUG